rnacentral:rRNA from 1 species
UACGUAAAGGUGCGAGCGUUUAAUCGGGAAUUACUGGGCGUAAAGCGUGCGCAGGCGGUGAUGUAGACAGAUGUGAAAUCCCCGGGCUCAACCUGGGACCUGCAUUUGUGGACUGCAUCGCUAGAGUACGGUAGAGGGGGAUGGAAUUCCGCGUGUAGCAGUGAAAUGCGUAGAUAUGCGGAGGAACACCGAUGGCGAAGGCAAUCCCCUGGACCCUGUACUGACGCUCAUGCACGAAA